UCCGCAGAUAGUUUAAUUAGUGUAGAACUUUUUGUACCUAAUUUUGGUUUUUCUGAUGUUUUUUUUUGUUAAGCGAAAUACGGGGGCGGAUAGGGGGGCCGACUUUACAAAAAAAAAAAAAUUAAUCCUUAUUUUGUAUUAUUUUGAUUUUUAUUAUUAGAUUAAAAUAAAGCAUGAGCUCUGAAGACAGAACUCCUCUUGCAUCCCUAACAGAUCCUGCUGCACAUUAUGAAGCCUUUUUGAGAUAUCCUCGAUCUACCCAGUCUACCACUUGUAAGUUUGUAUAGUAUAACUUGAAUAUCAAAUAUUAGCAUGUAUAUCUUGGUUUAAUUUAUAUUAUUUUUGAUCUUUACUUUAUUAGUUGCUACGGUUAGUUAUUUUAAAAGCUAGUACUUAAUUUAAUGUGAGUUAAUUAAUGUGAAAUAUCUUUUGCAUACUUAAUUACUAAUCUUUUUUUUUUUUUAGUUUAUUUACUGUUUGUUUGAGUUAAGUAAUAUUAUUUGAUUUUAAACUAGUUUAACUAUUUGAUUUUAAACCAGUUUAACUUAUGUUUACAGUUUCUAAAUAUUAUAUUUACGUAACCAUUACUUGUUUGUAGAAGGUAUGUAUGAGAUUUUUUAAGUCUAUAUUAUUUAGUACUUUUUUUACAUGUUGUAUUAUUAUGUUAUUAAUUGUUAACAAAUUAAUCUAUAUUUGUUUAUUUUUCAAAAAUUUUAAUUAAAACUAUUGCAUAUUAACUCUUUAUAUUUAUAUUUUUAAAGGAUUUAAAGAUCCAAUAAAAAGUGGAGUUAUGUUUCCGGAUGCAGUGAAAAAGGAUUUAGCUGUAAACUUUACUUUGCAUGGCGAAACACCUACACGCUGUCAAAAUGGACAUUUCUUUUAUUCAUUAAUAACGGGUGGAUACUCCAUCUUACAUCUUAUAAUGUGGUUGGAGAACACUGGGGGAGAGGCAGAGGGUGUUCCAGCCACACAUCCCAGCCAUGAAGUCAAUUAAUACAACACUUGAUUUUAAUUUCAAUUAAUACAACAUGCUGUAAAUAUUUAUGAGAAUGGAACAAUUCACUACAAGGGUGUUAAAACGUAACAAAGACAUCGACUCUUUAAUCUAAAAUAGACCACUAAUAUUUGGAAAUGGAAUGAAAGCAAAUUAGAACAAUUUUUUGUGUAUAAAGAUAAUAUAUUUUAUCAGAAAAACACUUUUUCGUGUGAAAAAUUUGUAUUUUUUUAAGGGUAUGAGGGUGUUCCGUACCCCCUCCGGCCCUCUAGACACCCCUUUUAUCUAUAGAGUUAUAUGAACUUGUAGCCUACUCUUACAUCUAUCUUUUGAUACCAAGGUAUAGACAUUUGGAUAAGAUUUGACAAAGUUAUAACAAUUUUAGUG